ensembl:lncRNA
GUGCCAUUGCAUAAUUAAAAUACUGUGUCAACAUUUUAGUGACUCAGACUCUGAGUUUGUUUGUUUCUUUAUUGUUUUUCACAUGUUGCACCAAGAACAGAGGAAAAAUAGUGACUUAAAUCAACAUUUAGCACAAACUAAACAAACAGGUGUGACUAAACUAAAUAACCCAGUGAUAACAGAAUACAACGAGUUACACAUAUUUCCUGAUCAGCAGGUACGUGGUUAUAUGUUUAUUAAUCAGCUCAGAGUCAAGUCGUCUUCAGAAGCUGGAAUAAUUAAAGAUGAUCUUAUCAUUUGCAGUUGGAAUGUAGCACCCGAUACCUGGAAAACAAACACGUCAGUCGUGUUUAUCGUAAAAUAGUAAUAAAUUACUGACUUUAAGUGUUUUAAGACGGAUUAGAAUCAGACAAAAAAAACUGUACUCCAGUAAGAGUACUGUUACUUGAGUAAUGUUUGUCACAUGUAGACGUACUUACAGUGGGAAGAGUAACCAAAACAUUUACUCAAGUAAAAGUAUUGGUACUUCAAUAAAAAUAUUACUCAAGUAGAAGUAAAAGUAUGUUGCUAGAAAAGUACUCUGAAAAGCACAAUGUCUUUAAAAAGUUACUUAAGUUAUUGAGUAAAUGUAACUGAGUACUACAUUAUCUAAAGGUGAUGUUGACUCACACCAAAACUGUGUCUGAUUCACUGUGGCACAGAGUUUAUAUUUAGGACAAACUUAAAACGUCACAAAACAUUUUUAACUCACCAACAUCAGGUAUUAUGACAGUCCCGUCCGGUUUCUCCACCAGCAGCUGCCAGUAGGUGCGCUGAGAGAAAUCUCCAUACAAACCAUUCACACUGGUCAGAAAGGGGCCGUAAUUUUUGUCCUCAGUGUAGGUAAACCUGAACACAACAUUUAAUAUGAGCAGAAAUGUCAUCACACAUGACUCUAGACGGCACAAUCAUCACAGUAAACUCUAACUUGAAGUUGGUGGUUUCCUGGAGUCGUCUCAUUGCUCCCAGCAGAAUUCCUCUGUAGGGCACAGAAGUGCGGUAGAUUUUUCUGGCUUCACCUGGGACCAAAGAGUUUCCCACCUCAAUCGUGACGGGAGUUUCAUUGGAGGGUGGUGCUGUAAAGAAAAUGAAGUGUUAUAUCUCAAACAUGAAAAACAAAGGCUACCAAAACACACCUGUCAGAAAAUCUACAUUAAACUGAAUCUCAUCAAAUAAAUAAACAUGAAAUGUUGACACUUUGGGCUGAAACUGCAGAGUUUUUAGUUUUGACUUUAUAAGCUGCAAGUUCAUGGUCAAAACAUGGAUGUGGAAAAACUCAAAGGGUGUGUUCAUCUUGUCCUGGUUCUGUCUGAUUUUGUCCAGGUUUAGUCCUAAUGUAGACCGGCCUUGGUCCUGUUCUAGUCCCAGAUGUGGUUUGUGUGAACCACACAACAUAAACUGCUCUUUCUACAGCACAAACCUUCAGCAUCUCCAUGAGACUGUCUAAUUGCAAUUUAAAAAACAUAAAUUAAUGACAUAAAUUUACAUCAUUUAACAACAAACAAAAGACACAAGUCCAUUUACCUCCAGAAGUGACCCCCAGAAGAACCAGGAGCAGCAGAGUGAUGGAGGCUGUUAGAUGCAUCGCCAUCGUCAAACACAGUAACUUCUCCUGGUUUGUGUCACUCCUUUUUAAAGUCCCAGAAAGUACCAGGAAGUAUUUGUCAUGUAUUGUUUUAUUACACGCAAUGAGGACAUUUUGUACUUCAGUGUAAUUAGGAAACACCCUUUAUUCAACCACAGGCCAAAAAUACAUUGUGCCAUGACCAUAAUUACAUCACAUCAUUAAAUCUAAAAGAUCAUGGUGUUCUCUUUGUCCAGAAGAACAAAAAGAACAACAGGUGUUUAUGAGCUGGGAGAGGCUUUUAAAAUCAUUUAUUCUCCACAAUGAAUGAAUGAUUUAUUUAAAGUGUAACAACAGGUAAAAUGACAUCAGUCUCUCUCCAGCAAAGUGUUAAAAUAAUCAUCUUGAGUUGAAGUUUUUGUAAAGUGAAGCACAGUCCAUUAUGUGUCAACAGUUUCAUUUGACUCUUCAUGCGCUGGAAUAUUCAAAGAUGAUCUUAUCAUUUGCAAUUGGAAUGUAGCACCUGAUAUCUGGAAAACAAACACAUCAGUCGUGUUUAUCGUACAAACUGUGCCUGAUUCACUGUGGCACAGAGUUUAUAUUUAGGACAAACCUAAAACGUCACAAAACACUUUUAACUCACCAGCAUCAGGUAUUAUGACAGUCCCGUCCAGUUUCUCCACCAGCAGCUGCCAGUAGGUGCGCUGAGAGAAAUCUCCAUACAAACCAUUCACACUGGUCAGAAAGGGGCCGUAAUAUUUGCUCUCAGUGUAGGUAAACCUGAACACAACAUUUAAUAUGAGUUAUAUGACCAAAGAGUUUCUCACUUCAAUCGUGACGGGAGUUUCAAUGGGGGGUGGUACUGUAAAGAAAAUGAAGUGUUAUAUCUCAAACAUGAAAAACAAAGGCUACCAAAACACACCUGUCAGAAAAUCUACAUUAAACUGAAUCUCAUCAAAUAAAUAAACAGGACAGUCAUGAAAUGUUGACACUUUGGGCUGAAACUGCAGAGUUUUUAGUUUUGACUUUAUAAGCUGCAAAGUCAUGGUCAAAACAUGGAUGGGUUGGUUGGAUCCCCGGGUCGCCCAGGCCUUUCUGUGUGGAGUUUUUCAUGUUUCUCCCCGUGUCUGGAUGGGUUUCCUCCGGGUACUCCGGUUUCCCCCAUCAACCAAAACAUGAACGCCCUUCGAGACAACUGUUGUUGUGAUUUUGGGCGUUACAAAAAUAAAUGAAUUGAAUUGAAUGUGGAAAAACUCAAAGGGUGUGUUCAUCUUGUCCUGGUUCUGUCUGAUUUUGUCCAGGUUUAGUCCUAAUGUAGACCGGCCUUGGUCCUGUUCUAGUCCCAGAUGUGGUUUGUGUGAACCACACAACAUAAACUGCUCUUUCUACAGCACAAACCUUCAGCAUCUCCAUGAGACUGUCUAAUUGCAAUUUAAAAAACAUAAAUUAAUGAGAUAAAUUUACAUCAUUUAACAACAAACAAAAGACACAAGUCCAUUUACCUCCUGAAGUGACCCCCAGAAGAACCAGGAGCAGCAGAGUGAUGGAGGCUGAUAGAUGCA